rnacentral:lncRNA from 1 species
AUUUUGAUUAACUUAUGCAGGUGCUUAAAAAGUAUCACAUAUAUCGUGUAGAGCUACUAUAUACUAUCGAAAGUAUAAGAGAGCUGAUGCUUUCGAUUUUUUAGCUCUUAGAUCUAAAAUUGUAAAACCAGAUGAUAGUGGAUUUAGGAUUGAGUCGUCCCUUCAGGGUCGAGUGGUCUCCCUAAAAAAAUAAUAUUAAUCCAAAAGUCAAAAGUGGUCAAAAUGGCUAAUCCAAAAGCUAAAAAGUUGAAAGCACGAACUCCCUUAUACUUUCAAAAAUACAGCAGCUACUCUGUAUAUAUUUGUCAACAAAUCAGCACCCUACAACGACAAUAUUAAGAAUUUUAUUUUUUUGAUUUUACAUAUUUGAGUUUAAAAAAAAA